GCCCACUGAUGAGAUUAUGGCAACUUUUAUGAUCUAGUCAGACCAAGAGAUUGUGGUCUCUAGCCUGCUGUUAGAUGGGUAGUCUUGGUAGUGUGGUGGAGUUUUAUUGCACUGCUGUAAGGGUCCAUCUACAGUUAACUUGUCACCUUCUACAACCUCUGCCCCCUAAGAGCAAUGGGAUGGCACAAGUAGGGGAUGUCAAACAAUGUGUGGAUGUUUGUCUUUUUCUGUGUGUUGUGUGAUUGUAUAUGUAUCAGCUGGCAAGAGGCUACAGUCUAUAGAUGGUUUGGCAGGUGUGAACUACUCUUUGGUAAUCUGAGGGCA